ensembl:lncRNA
AAGAAUUUAGCAUGUUUGAUUUUGUUGAGUGAUUUACAUAUCACUGCUUUGGAAAAAUAAAUGAAAACAGAUUAAUUGCUAGCCAACUCAUUGGUAUGACUAUGAAGGAAAAUAAUUUAUUAUCCUUUAUGUCUGAUUCCAGUAUAGGUAUCAAGACAAUCCACUGGGAUCUCCUUCUGAUCCUUUCUGAUUUCCUUUACAAAAUUAGGUUUAUGACUGGAGUACACAAAAACUCUUAUGGUGUACUAUAAAUAUCUUUACACUGAAGGCUUUUCUUUGAAGAAAAUAUUUCCUCAUUUCUCUUCUCACUUACCUCUGUCCUUUGAGUCCUUUCUAUUAUCUGAUCUUUUCUGGAUCAAGUUCAUUUUGCAAAUCUGGAUAAUUAAGCUCAAGCCCAGUGAAUGUUCCAGCCCUGAUCAAUCCAUACCAAGUUGUGCCACUGGAUCUGAAUGGCCACUGGGGAAAACAUUCAACCAUGCUCUGGGUGUAAGCGAAGCUGCAGAUGCUCCUACAGGCAAAGUGUUGUACUUCUGUAUGCACAUGGACCCCACUUACUUUAACAUACCCUUCCAUUGGAGCAAAUGCCCCAAUGUGGGGAGAGUCAAAAACAUACAUAAAGAAAACAGAACCAGCUUAAGCCCUAACCCCAGGGUUUCUGCUCCAGCAAUUUAGGAUUAGACCCUCCCUCCCCUGACACAGCAUCUCCUUUACUUUCUUUGUUAUGUGUGCACUUUCCUAUUUGAUUGUGUGAUUUGAUGAUGGCCCCUGAGCAGAGAGAUGUCCUGCUUCACAUGCUUCACUGACUCUAACCUCUCCCAUAUCCAGUCACACCCAUUACCAAGGUGAUAGGUACAAGCAUGCCCAAAGACAUGAUUAGGUAUGCAUCAAAAUGAACCCUCCCACCAAAGGCAUUGAAUACACAGAGCCUGUAUAAGGAUGCUCAUAUAGGAACACUCUUUUGAGACCACAAUAGGGAACAGUUUCACCUAACUUCAUAGAGCCAAUGAAAAGUAAAGCAAAAAGAAAAGGCAGA